rnacentral:lncRNA from 13 species
AAUUGGCCUAGCUAACGGUUUGGGGGUACAUGUGAAGAACAUGCAAGAUGGUUGCAUAGUACCUCACAAGGCUAUCUGGACUAAGGAAGAGGAUUCCCAGUCUCCUUUUGAGCUAAGUGAAUUUGUGUACUGGACAACAAGAUGUCAAAAGACAUAA